rnacentral:sRNA from 1 species
CUUUAAAAUUGGGGUCUGAAAAUUGUUAUUGCAUUCAGUCUCUGUGCUUAUAAGAUCAAUGUUUGUAAAGGCCUAAGCUUUCUUAGAGAUUCCACUGUCCAGGUGUUUUCAUAUAUAUUAAGUAUUUUCUGUAAACCUAAAACUGAGGUUAGAAAUAGAAACCCACAUUAUUUUGUCCCUUCCAUGUUCUUUCUACUGUCCCUCACUUUGGCCCCCACAAUUUCAAGUUUCCCUUUUCUUUUGUCUGUGCAUUCAUUCUGUCUUGAUGUGUUGUCUUGUUUUAAUCCAUUAGUUGGCAUAGAUGGUCUUAAUUGUUUUUCAUCCAGAUAUAUCUAAAACCAGAACUCCUUUUAAACAUACAAAAGGUUGAUUUAAAAAAUUAAGGGAGCUGUUUAAUAGUACUUACUGGAUAUCUUUGCAGUUGAACUUAGGAACAGUUGGGUUUUAUCGGACCCAGUACAGCUCUGCCAUGCUGGAAAGUUUAUUACCAGGCAUUCGUGACCUUUCUCUGCCCCCUGUGGAUCGACUUGGAUUACAGAAUGACCUCUUCUCCUUGGCUCGAGCUGGAAUCAUUAGCACUGUAGAGGUUCUAAAAGUCAUGGAGGCUUUUGUGAAUGAGCCCAAUUAUACUGUAUGGAGCGACCUGAGCUGUAACCUGGGGAUUCUCUCAACUCUCUUGUCCCACACAGACUUCUAUGAGGAAAUCCAGGAGUUUGUGAAAGAUGUCUUUUCACCUAUAGGGGAGAGACUGGGCUGGGACCCCAAACCUGGAGAAGGUCAUCUCGAUGCACUCCUGAGGGGCUUGGUUCUGGGAAAACUAGGAAAAGCAGGACAUAAGGCAACAUUAGAAGAAGCCCGUCGUCGGUUUAAGGACCACGUGGAAGGAAAACAGAUUCUCUCCGCUGAUCUGAGGAGUCCUGUCUAUCUGACUGUUUUGAAGCAUGGUGAUGGCACUACUUUAGACAUUAUGUUAAAACUUCAUAAACAAGCAGAUAUGCAAGAAGAGAAAAACCGAAUCGAAAGAGUCCUUGGCGCUACUCUUUUGCCUGACCUGAUUCAAAAAGUCCUCACGUUUGCACUUUCAGAAGAGGUACGUCCACAGGACACUGUAUCGGUAAUUGGUGGAGUAGCUGGAGGCAGCAAGCAUGGAAGGAAAGCUGCUUGGAAAUUCAUAAAGGACAACUGGGAAGAACUUUAUAACCGAUACCAGGGAGGAUUCUUAAUAUCCAGACUAAUAAAGGUGUGUGAAAAACUUUGAGUAGCUUGCUAAUCAUGGAUAUUAUUUAGUGACAUCCAUGAUUCACUACACCCAUACAUUGUGGUCUUUGCUCUUUAAAUGUUUCCUGUGGCCAGGCGCAGUGGCUUACGCCUGUAAUACCAGCACUUUGGGAGGCCGAGGUGGGCAGAUCACCUGAGGUCGGGAGUUCGAGACUAUCCUGGCCAACAUGGUGAAACCCUGUCCCUACUAAAAAUAGAAAAAUUAGCUGAGCAUGGUGGUGUGUGCCUGUAAUCCCAGGUACUUGGGAGGCUGAGGCAGGAGAAUCGCUUGAACCCGGGAGGCGGAGGUUGUGGUGAGCCGAGAUGAGGUCAUUGCACUCCAGCCUGGGCAACAAGUGUGAAACUCCGUCUUAAAAAAAAAAAAGUUUCCUUAAAUAGUUACUGGCUUUAUUUAAGGACUUCUCCAUCUCCCAUCACACAUCCUUUAUGACAGACUGAAGUUGGCAGAGAACAGAAUGGUUUGUUUUUAGGGUAAAUGGAAGUUUGUUCCCAGCCUCUUAGUUUCACUUACUGUUUAAAACCAUUGUUUUGCAGCUAUCAGUUGAAGGAUUUGCAGUUGAUAAAAUGGCUGGAGAGGUUAAGGUAAGGAAAAUACUGUUUACUCUUCACUUUUCAAUCUAGUAAGUAAAAACUAACCUGGUUGUAAUCAUAGUGUUGGGAUAAUGUACUGUAGCAUCUCUGUGUUUUGUUUAGAGAAAGACAUCAUGCAGGGCUGUAUAGGCCAUAUUAAGAAUUUCCUGAAAAUAGCCAGGCAUGGUAGCUCACAUCUGUAAUCUCAGCACUUUGGGAGGCCGAGGCAGGUGGAUCACCUGAGGUCAGGACUUCGAGACCAGCCUGGGCAACAUGGUGAAACCCCAAAUUAGCUGGACACGGUGGUGCACGUCUCUAAUCCCAGCUACUCAGGAGGCUGAGGCAGGAGAAUUGCUUGAGCCUGGGAGGUGGAGGUUGCAGUGAGCUGAGAUCGUGCCAUUGCACUCCAGCCUGGGUGACAGAGCGAGACUCCGUCUC